CAUUGUAGUCCUUUACGUAACGUCAAAUUCGUUGUUUCGAGGUUAGAAUAAAUUUAUAAUUUUGUUGUUUAUUAUUUGAAAAUGGAUAUUUACUACAUUGACUUAAAUGAUAUUGAGGAUAUGGAAGUUGCGGAGUCAUUUGUGAUGGCACACAGAUCUAUCAGACAUCGUAUUCGAGUAAACCCUUUUGAGGGACUGUGUGAGGGAGAUUUUUGAAAAAGUAUAAGGCUUACAAAACGUUUUGCCACAAAAAUUAUAAAUUGAGUAAAAUACCAGUUAUCUCACGACCCUAGGGGAGUAUUAAAUUUGUAAUAUAGGUAUGAACACCACAAUCUAGUAAUUGAGGCUAUUGUUGGGAGACAGUGGUUAUGCAUGCACACCAUAUUUAAUUACACCUUUACUCAACCCUACAAAACCUCAAGAAGAAAAGUACAACCAUGCACAUAUUCACACCAGGAAUACAAUACAGAGAUAUUUUGGUUUGUGGAAGCAAGAUUCCGUUGUUUGUUGUUGUAAGGGGAUUAUUUGGUGACAUUGAAACCUCCAGAAAGAUUAUUGUGGCAUGUGCUGUUCUACAUACAAUUUUGCAAUUUAUAUGCAAGAAGAUUUAUUUCCAGAAUUUUGAUAUAAAUCAGGCUGAUUCAUCCAGAACAGUAGGUAGUUUUGCCAGUGGAAAAUAGUGUAUGUGGUAAUAUGAGAAGGAGGCAGUUCAUACAAACACACUUUUAGUGAAUAAUAUAUUAUUAUAAUAAUUAUAAACAACAUUGUAUUUACAUUUAUACACAACUAAUUAAUCUUUAAACAGCUCUGUGAUGGUAAAUCUGAAAAAGAAAAUGGGGGUUAUUAAAAUAUGAAUAAUAUAAUAAAACUCAAAACAUUACAUUCGAACUGGUGUUUUCACUAUAGUUUACUUACUUUUAUCAUGUCAUCAUUGAGAUGCUAGCAACUAUUGUUAUUGGGUUCCAUAUGAGUGUCGAUUGUUUAAAUAUAAAUAUUUGAGAUGAAAUUUAGGUUCUACUGAAAUUAAAUUAAAACACUUAAAAACAUAUUAUACAAAUGAUUGUAUUCAAUAAUUGAGCUCCAAAAUUUUAUAUAAAUUUAAACUCAGUAUUUAGUUAUUACCCAAGCUUUUCUGAUUUUCUAAUAAAUUUACUUCUAACUCUAGUUUUCUUAUUUUUAAUUUAGCAAUUCUAAUUGUAUAUUCAUGCUCAACCUCUAAUAUUUCUAAGUGUCUCUUUAUAUUGCUUUCCACUAUGCUUUUUUGUAAUACUUCAUUUCUGUAAAACCAAAAAAAUUUUGAUUUCUUGGAGUAGUUCUGUUAUUUAUUUCUAAGGUUCCUAGAAAAUACUAUUAUUAUUGAAAUGUCUACAACAAUAUAUACAACAUUAUUCUCUUAAUCAUAUUUUGUUAGAAUUUAAAUAUGUAUUCGAAAUUUUAAAUAUUUGUUUUUAUCUUUAUCUAUUGUUGUAACUCUUUUAUAAUAGGGUUCUGUAUUUACAAUUUUUGAGUCAAUUGGUGUGCUAGGACCAGCUACUGCUUCUAUGCUAUUUCCAGCUUCUAUUUGAAUAUCCUGUUGGUGUUAGUGGUCUAAUUCUACCUAAUGGAUAUUACAUAUUGAUUAAUAAAGUUAUGCUGAGAAUUA